CUAACAGCUGGACGCAAUUAAAUCCCACUUUUCCAUACUGAAUCGUCGCAUCUGUUCUGAGGAUAACAGUUUCCCAAAAGAUUUUCUUCCAUCUGUUAUCAUUUUCAAAUCUCUUUUCUUUUGAAAACCCUUCAAUCCGGGUUCCUUGCCCAUUCCUCUUGCAGAGGUUCUUCAUUGCAGAUCCUCUCGGUUCCGAUCAGGCAUGCAUAUGCUUCUGCAAGAAACGGAGAUGAAAUAUUGGAGUGGAGGGUUGUUUUCAAGGCUCUUAACUUUCCCCGCCAGUCUCGUACAAUAACUCCCGACGCCGAUCUAUACCUGUUAGUAUCAAAAGCUGCAUCAAAGUGUAUUGUGUCCUGUGUUCUCGCUUCCCAAUGUCUCUGAACUUCAACAGUCUUCAAGGUACGUUUUUCCAUUCCCACUGUUUCAAUCUCAGCUAAAUAAGCCUUUAUUAUGUGAACAAGAUCCCUUCCUGAUACAAUCUUCCUCUCAUGCACCAAUUGAUUUCGUGAGUUCCAUAAGGCGCAACAAAACACCUUACACUGCUAAUUGGUUCCCUUUUCGAAGACCCAAGUAAGCCAUGUUCUAGUAUUCUGAUCUCUGUAUGGUGUAACCCAAUUCAUACUAAUGUUUUGCCAAACUUCAUUGCUUUUAGGACACUGCAAAAACACGUGGAGACUGUUUUUUUCCCCUGAACCACAUCGAGGACAUCGCACGCUUGUGGUUAAACGUUUGCAACGUAGAUUGACUAAUGUAGGAAUGUAGUUCCAAGAAAUCCUCCAGAUCAAGAGUAGAAUUUUUUAUGGAAGUUGUAAUUGCCAUAAUUUUCUGUAGAAAUCUUUGAAUUCGGUCUGUACUAAAUUAUUAGGGUCCAGAUUAGCAUCUUGUAAUAGUUUGUAAGCACUCCGUACUGAGAAUUCUCCAGACGGUUCACCUUUCCAAACGAGCAAAUCUUCACUAUCUGUAGUUGCAAGUGGGAUCUGUAAUAUUCUUUGCGCAAUGGCCAGUUGAAAGGUUCGAUCCCCGGGAUCCACUGGUCAAUUCCAAAUAGAAAUUUUGUUUCCUUUCCCAACUCUCCAACACAGGCCUUGAGUGAGAUGUCCCUUUGCAGCCCAGAUACUCUUCCAAGUAAGGGAAGGUAAAUUCCCCAACUCUGCACUUAGAAAAUUCAAAUUUGGAUAAUACUUUGCUUUAAGAACCCUGGCUA